GAUGAACGCUGGCGGCGUGCCUAAUACAUGCAAGUCGAACGCUGAAGGAGGAGCUUGCUCUUCUGGAUGAGUUGCGAACGGGUGAGUAACGCGUAGGUAACCUGCCUGGUAGCGGGGGAUAACUAUUGGAAACGAUAGCUAAUACCGCAUGACAACAGUUAUUGCAUGAUAACUGUUUAAAAGGGGCAACUGCUCCACUACCAGAUGGACCUGCGUUGUAUUAGCUAGUUGGUGAGGUAACGGCUCACCAAGGCGACGAUACAUAGCCGACCUGAGAGGGGGAUCGGCCAACCUGGGACCGAGACACGGCCCAGACUCCUACGGGAGGCAGCAGUAGGGAAUCUUCGGCAAUGGACGGAAGUCUGACCGAGCAACGCCGCGUGAGUGAAGAAGGUUUUCGGAUCGUAAAGCUCUGUUGUAAGAGAAGAACGAGUGUGAGAGUGGAAAGUUCACACUGUGACGGUAUCUUACCAGAAAGGGACGGCUAACUACGUG
rnacentral:rRNA from 1 species